rnacentral:rRNA from 1 species
AAUGGUGGCAAAACCUCAUUGUCAAAGCCUCAUUGUCAAAAGCCUGACCGCCAUCUCAGAAGCUAAGCAGGGGUGGGCCAGGUUUGUAUUUGGAUGGGAGACUGAUGAGAAUAUCAGGUGCCACAGUGG